rnacentral:lncRNA from 1 species
UCGUCUCCUCCUUUUGGUCUCUCACUUUUAAUUUUCCUUCUCUUAUUUGCGCUACCCUCCCUCUUUUCCUUUCUUUCCCUUUCCCUUUUCCUUUCUUUUCUCCUUCUUUCUAUUCCGAAUGCCUUAUCUACCACCUUCGUUUAACAUCCUUGUUGCUGCCAAUUUUUCCUCUCUCUUGGCCGAAUCGUCUUGAUCGCUUAGUUCUGAUUUAGUUCCCAAUUGCGAUAGGUUGGUAAGUGAGAUUUCUUUUAUUGGUUAGAUUCCGUUUCUGGAUGCAUAACAAAGUUAUGGUUUGUUCUAUUCCAUUUUACUUAACCGGUUCCUUUUGAAAUAUUUCUGAAACCUUUAUGCCGAAUACGAUAAUAUGUGUUUUUGUGUGUUUGUCGUUUAAAGGACCAGAUCUUGAUGUGAACGAGUUAGAUCGAAGUUGAGGAUGUUCCGCACGGUGUGGGAAGUAGAGGUGUGUGUCUGACCGUGAUUAUGUCGUGUGUGUGUAGGCUUUGGCCUAUUGUGUAAAUAAUGAAUUGCAUGUUUAGUUGCUGCCAAUUCCUCAUGUAUAUUGGAUAAAUCCUAUCUGUAUAUUUUACUAAUCCAUGCUUACUGUUACCGUUUGGAUGAAAAUAGCAUGUUAAUACUGUUACUGUUACUAUUUUUUGACAUCAUCAACAUGCCAUACUAUUGCAUGGGGAUUAGGUUUUUGAAGGAGGAAGUGCAUGCAUUUAAUGCCGGAUCGGUUCCCGAUCAAAUUACUAUUUUACUGGCGGUAUAAUGACAACCUACUAUUAUACUAACGGUUCAUCCGCAU